UUACGGCCAUAUCAUGUUUAAAUACAGUUUCUUAUCCGAUCACCGAAGUUAAGCAACGUCGACCCUAGUCAGUACCUAGAUGGGUUACCGCUCGGUAAUACCAGGUGCUGUAAG